rfam:Methanococcus voltae A3, complete genome.
GCCGAGGUGGCUUAGGCUGGUUAUAGCGCUCGGCUCAUACGGAAAAUACUCAGGGAUUUAAUUCCCUGGGUCCUGGGAAACCGAGAGGUCGGGGGUUCGAGUCCCCCCCUCGGCA